rnacentral:rRNA from 1 species
UACGUAGGGGGCAAGCGUUGUCCGGAAUCAUUGGGCGUAAAGAGCGUGUAGGCGGCCCGGUAAGUCCGCUGUGAAAGUCCAGGCUCAACCCUGGGAUGCCGGUGGAUACUGUCGGGCUCGAGUCCGGAAGAGGAGUGUGGAAUUCCUGGUGUAGCGGUGAAAUGCGCAGAUAUCAGGAGGAACACCAAUGGCGAAGGCAGCACUCUGGGACGUGACUGACGCUGAGACGCGAAAGCGUGGGGAGCAAACAGGAUUGAGAAAC